GAGUCUAUUUUUUCUCUCUCUCCACCCAUCAUAUCUCAUCCCUCUCUCAAAACCUUCCAACAGCCACUUUCUCUCGCCGGCGACCACCAUUGUCGCCAACAAACAUUCCCUCCACAGCCGACUACUCACCGGAACCCAAGCAACGAUCCAUCUUCAUCCACCACCGUGGACAGCAUCGCACGAAGUAUCGAGCACCAGAAACGUGAAAGGCAGAACAACUGCUCCGAAAUCCUAGAGCUAUCAACGGUUGAGAUCUGCGACGAGUAUAUAAAACUCAAGUUUGAGGAGAAGCGCAUGAAGAAAGGUCAGAUAGACUCGCACUGGAUAGCAAAAUGGAGCAAUGUGACGCCAUUACCGUUGUUGAUGCAAUGAUUACUGUUGCAAAUGGAAUGACUAUUAAUGGUAAUGGUAGGCGUGAAUUAUAUGAGAGGGGAAAGGGGUGUGGUAGGCGUGAAUUGUGAGAGAUGAUGGUUUUUGGCUCUAUGCCAUUAAUGGUGUUCUGUUUUCUGGGUUUUAUUUUUCCAACUCUCUCUCUUUAUAUCUUGUCUUGUAAAUAUGAUUAUUGCAUUUUUACUUUGGAUGUGUGGAAUUAUGCUUUUCUGAGCUCCUCU